UACGGAGGGUGCAAGCGUUAUCCGGAUUCACUGGGUUUAAAGGGUGCGUAGGAGGGCAGGUAAGUCAGUGGUGAAAUCUCCAAGCUUAACUUGGAAACUGCCGUUGAUACUAUCUGUCUUGAAUACCGUGGAGGUGAGCGGAAUAUGUCAUGUAGCGGUGAAAUGCUUAGAUAUGACAUAGAACACCACUUGCGAAGGCAGCUCGCUACACGAAUAUUGACUCUGAUGCACGAAAGCGUGGGGAUCAAACAGG
rnacentral:rRNA from 1 species